CGGGUGAGUAACACGUGAGCAACCUACCUUCGAGUUGGGGAUAGCCCUGGGAAACCAGGAUUAAUACCCGAUGUGGUCACCACCAGGCAUCUGGAGGUGAGUAAAGGCGAAAGCCGCUCGAUGACGGGCUCGCGGCCUAUUAGCUUGUUGGUGGGGUAACGGCCUACCAAGGCGAUGAUGGGUAGCUGGUCUGAGAGGACGAGCAGCCACACUGGGAUUGAGAACGGCCCAG
rnacentral:rRNA from 1 species